GGGUGCUCUGGAUCUUUCUGUCCGGAGCCUUGUAUUGGUAACGGAUAGAAAGAGAAAGGCCCCGAGUCGAUGUAAUCAACCCGAGGCCACUCUGAACGCUUAGCAACGUCAGGUUAGCCUCUUCCCCGCCGCAAGGCAAGGAUAAGGAGGUCAAAAAUG
rnacentral:antisense_RNA from 1 species